rnacentral:lncRNA from 1 species
CCUUGUUCAUGGCAUUCCUCUUGUUGGGCCGGUUGAGCUGGACAUGCAGAACAUGUUUCUGCGCAGACGUCACACGAAGGGACUCAUAGCUGUGGUCUGGGGCUUCACCGAGGGCUACUCCGGAAGCCUCCUCUUGUGCAGAGGAGCCAGUGAGGCGAAGGCUAAUACUGAGUCCCGGGUAGUUGGAGCCUGUCAGUCGCGG